UACCUCAAAAUUCCACAACAGUCUGUUUCAUCAGUAAAGAAUCAUCAGGCGGUGAUGAUUCUUUACAUCACCGCUUGAUGAUUCUUUACUGAUUCUUUACUGAUGAAACAGACUGUUGCGGAAUUU